GACGAACGCUGGCGGCGUGCUUAACACAUGCAAGUCGAACGGAAAGGCCCCUUUGGGGGUACUCGAGUGGCGAACGGGUGAGUAACACGUGAGUAACCUGCCCUUGACUUCGGGAUAACUUCAGGAAACUGGGGCUAAUACCGGAUAGGAAUCCUUGCUGCAUGGUGGGGGUUGGAAAGCUUCGGCGGUUUUGGAUGGACUCGCGGCUUAUCAGCUUGUUGGUGGGGUAGUGCUUACCAAGGCUUUGACGGGUAGCCGGCCUGAGAGGGCGACCGGCCACAUUGGGACUGAGAUACGGCCCAGACUCCUACGGGAGGCAGCAGUGGGGAAUAUUGCACAAUGGGCGGAAGCCUGAUGCAGCAACGCCGCGUGCGGGAUGACGGCCUUCGGGUUGUAAACCGCUUUCAGCAGGGGCGAAGCUUGUGGUGACGGUACCUGCAGAAGAAGCACCGGCUAACUACGUG
rnacentral:rRNA from 1 species